rnacentral:rRNA from 13 species
GCCAACGCCCUAGCCGCGCUGAGUGCACUCGUUCCCGUCAGAUCACGAAAGUUAAGCAGCGCUGGGCACGGAUAGUACUUGGAUGGGUGUCGCCU